UGCUUUCAUUUCUCAUCAGGAUUGUAGGGGCAGCAUCACAUGUUAUGAGGGAUUGCAGCUGGAAGCCAAUCUGCACAAACCCUUGAGAAACAGAGCAAGAGGGGAAAUGACUGGAUAUACCACAGUGUCCUUCCUACGACUUCUCCCCUUUUUCCUUCUCUUAGGCCUUCCUCAGCUCUUUCCUUUGCAAUAUACUCUAUCCUUAAAGAACAGAGAAGCAAGCAGCAAUUGUGUCGAGGGCUCCUUCAGAUAAAUCCACAAGGAGCUCUGCAACAGCAUCUCGAGAAGAGGGUAACCAUUAACAGCAAGUUGCCACGUAGAGCCAGUGUUCCUGUGAAGAUUCUGACUCUGAUUCUCAGUCUCUGCCAGUGUUGCCUUCAACCUGAAUGAAGAGAUAUGUUUUUCCAGUCUGCAUGCAAGCCUCAUGCUGUUAGUAAAUCAUGGUUGUUCAAAUGUCUUUUCAGCUGUUCAUAUUAUUUUUGAGCUAUUUCAUGCUUUCCCCAAUCAGAAACAAUAGUUCCUUUUUUUUAACUGAUGAAGUCUGCUAACUUCACGUUUCAUUAAUGUACCUCAAAUGCGUCAUUCUCUGACAACACUGGUACUCCUAAUGCAA
rnacentral:lncRNA from 1 species